rnacentral:rRNA from 1 species
UACGGAGGAGGCAAGCGUUAUCCGGAAUUAUUGGGCGUAAAGCGUCCGCAGGUGGCUAUUCAAGUCUGCGGUCAAAGACUGGGGCUUAACCCUGGAAAGGCCGUGGAAACUGAAGAGCUAGAGUGCAGUAGGGGUAGAGGGAAUUCCCGGUGUAGCGGUGAAAUGCGUAGAGAUCAGGAAGAACACCGGUGGCGAAAGCGCUCUGCUGGACCUUAACUGACACUGAGGGACGAAAGCUAGGGGAGCGAAUGGG